rnacentral:rRNA from 1 species
AUUGAACGCUGGCGGCAGGCCUAACACACGCAAGUCGAGCGGCAGCGGAAAAGUAGCUUGCUACCUUUGCCGGCGAGCGGCGGACGGGUGAGUAAUGCCUGGGGAUCUGCCCAGUCGAGGGGGAUAACUACCGGAAACGGUAGCUAAUACCGCAUACGCCCUACGGGGGAAAGCAGGGGACCUUCGGGCCUUGCGCGAUUGGAUGAACCCAGGUGGGAUGAGCUAGUUGGUGAGGUAAUAGCUCACCAAGGCGACGAUCCCUAGCUGGUCUGGGAGGAUGAUCAGCCACACUGGAACUGAGACACGGUCCAGACUCCUACGGGAGGCAGCAGUGGGGAAUAUUGCACAAUGGGGAAAACCCUGAUGCAGCCAUGCCGCGUGUGUGAAGAAGGCCUUCGGGUUGUAAAGCACUUUCAGCGAGGAGGAAAGGUCAGUAGCUAAUAUCUGCUGGCUGUGACGUUACUCGCAGAAGAAGCACCGGCUAACUCCGUGCCAGCCGCCGCCGUAA